CCUACGGGAGGCAGCAGUAGGGAAUCUUCCACAAUGGACGAAAGUCUGAUGGAGCAACGCCGCGUGAGUGAAGAAGGGUUUCGGCUCGUAAAGCUCUGUUGGUAGUGAAGAACGAUAGAGGUAGGAACUGGCAUUUAUUUGACGGUAAUUACUUAGAAAGUCACGGCUAACUACGUGCCAGCAGCCGCGGUAAUACGUAGGUGGCAAGCGUUGUCCGGAUUUAUUGGGCGUAAAGGGAGUGCAGGCGGUUCAAUAAGUCUGAUGUGAAAGACUUCGGCUCAACCGGAGAAUUGCAUCAGAAACUGUUGAACUUGAGUGCAGAAGAGGAGAGUGGAACUCCAUGUGUAGCGGUGGAAUGCGUAGAUAUAUGGAAGAACACCAGUGGCGAAGGCGGCUCUCUGGUCUGCAACUGACGCUGAGGCUCGAAAGCAUGGGUAGCGAACAGGAUUAGAUACCCGAGUAGUC
rnacentral:rRNA from 1 species